UACGUAGGUGACGAGCGUUAUCCGGAAUACUGGGCGUAAAGCGCACGCAAGCGGUUGGACAAGUCUGGCGUGAAAUCCUCUGGCUUAACCAGGGGGCGGUCGCUGGAGACUGUUCGGCUUGAGGCGAUGAGAGGGGUGCAGAAUUCCCCGGUGUAGUGGUGGAAUGCGUAGAGAUCGGGAGGAAUACCAGUGGCGAAAGCGGCAC
rnacentral:rRNA from 1 species